GGUGAUAGCUCAGUGGCAGAGCACAUGCUCAACAGGCACAAAGUCCUGGGUUCAAUCCCCAGUAUCUCUA
rnacentral:tRNA from 1 species